CCCCUAGUAACUGCGAGUGAAGCGGGAAGAGCUCAAAUUUGAAAUCUGGCGGCUCCGUCGUCCGAGUUGUAACCUGGAGAAGCGUUUUCCGUGCCGGACCGUGUACAAGUCCCUUGGAACAGGGCGUCGUAGAGGGUGAGAAUCCCGUCUUUGACACGGACUCCCGGUGCUCUGUGAUGCGCUCUCGAAGAGUCGAGUUGUUUGGGAAUGCAGCUCAAAAUGGGUGGUAAAUUCCAUCUAAAGCUAAAUAUUGGCGAGAGACCGAUAGCGAACAAGUACCGUGAGGGAAAGAUGAAAAGCACUUUGGAAAGAGAGUAAAACAGUACGUGAAAUUGUUGAAAGGGAAACGCUUGAAGUCAGUCGCGUCUGCCGGGACUCAGCUCCGCUCCGCGGGGUGCACUUCCCGGCCGACGGGUCAGCAUCGGUUUUGGGGGACGGACAAAGGCGGGAGGAAGGUGGCAGCUCCGGCUGUGUUAUAGCCUCCCGUUGUACGCGCCCUCCGGGACCGAGGAAUCCGGCGCUCGCCGCCUGGGAUGCUGGCGUAAUGGCUUUAAGCGACCCGUCUUGAAACACGGACCAAGGAGUGCUACACGCUCGCGAGUGUUUGGGUGGAAAACCCGGACGCGAAAUGAAAGUGAAAGUCGAGACCCUUUGCGGGGGCACCGACGCCCGAGCCUGACGUUUUCUGAAGGCCUUGCGGUAGAGCGAGCGCGUUGCGACCCGAAAGAUGGUGAACUAUUCCUGAGGAGGGCGAAGCCAGAGGAAACUCUGGUGGAGGCUCGUAGCGGUUCUGACGUGCAAAUCGAUCGCAGGACUUGGG
rnacentral:rRNA from 1 species